UGCAUAAUGCUUACAUCACGAGUUAGAAGUUAUCUUCCUUGGUUUUAUCAAGAGAUCGAAAGUGAAAAACCUAAAAUACAAAUAUUAAAAAACUAGCAACGAGAAUCAUAAAAUGUAUAAACAAUGAAAAUAAAUAUUUAUAUUGAACUGAAUAGAAUGAAUCGAAUGAGAAAUAUUCAAAUAGAUAUUAAAAAAAUAUUUCAAUAUCUAAACUUGGUGAAUGUUUGACCUAGGUAGUUCUUAUGCUCGUGCCUCGACACGAACUCAUCAACCUCCACCGGCAAGUCGUCCACCACUUUCUCGUGGCUCGCAUUUCUCCUUGGCGGUGGCUACGCUGUCAGCACCAUCGCCUGUUCGUUGGAGCUCGAAACUGAAUUCUUCGGCCGACCUCUGGACUCUCUCCACUUCUUCGCAAAGGCAAGAGGCGUCGGAAUUUGUCGUCUUGUCGCCUUGUACAACACCGUUAUAGGUUGCCGGAAGGAUGAUUAUCGGGCCCGAAUCGGAGCAUUGGUCUCGCCGGAGGAUUUGGGCCUAUUUUCUUGACCUAGGAAGAAGGCGACACUAGGAGGCAGAGAGGAAAAGGAAAGAAAAAGGGGUUUGAACAAAGUGGGUUUCAAAAAGUUUCAGUCAUUCAUUGCGGAAGAGUGGUAUUGGUUGAUUGGAAGAGCUUCAACAAUUUAAACAAUACUAUAUAUGCGAAUUGGUUUUGGAUACAGAUAAUAUUCACCGUGAUACGAUUCUUCACGCAAUAGAGUACAACACCUUUUUAUUUCCUAAUAGAGGAAUGAAGUUGUAAAAACUUGUAGCAUUACCAUUUGAAUAUAUUGUA